GCCUGGGUGGCUUAGUCGGUGAAGCGUCCGACUUCGGCUCAGGUCACGAUCUCACGGUUCGUGGGUUCGAGCCCCACGUCAGGUU
rnacentral:tRNA from 1 species